AUUGAACGCUGGCGGCAUGCCUUACACAUGCAAGUCGAACGGCAGCACGGGUGCUUGCACCUGGUGGCGAGUGGCGAACGGGUGAGUAAUACAUCGGAACGUACCUUAUCGUGGGGGAUAACGCAGCGAAAGCUGUGCUAAUACCGCAUACGCCCUGAGGGGGAAAGCGGGGGAUCGAAAGACCUCGCGCGAUUAGAGCGGCCGAUGCCUGAUUAGCUUGUUGGUGGGGUAAAAGCCCACCAAGGCGACGAUCAGUAGCUGGUCUGAGAGGACGAUCAGCCACACUGGGACUGAGACACGGCCCAGACUCCUACGGGAGGCAGCAGUGGGGAAUUUUGAACAAUGGGGGCAACCCUGAUCCAGCAAUGCCGCGUGAGUGAAGAAGGCCUUCGGGUUGUAAAGCUCUUUUGUCAGGGAAAAAACACCGGCUCUAACACAGUCCGGGAAUGACGGUACCUGAAGAAUAAGCACCGGCUAACUACGUGCCAGCCGCCGCCGUAA
rnacentral:rRNA from 1 species